CAGCAGCCGCGGGAAUACGUAGGGUGCAAGCGUUAAUCGGAAUUACUGGGCGUAAAGCGUGCGCAGGCGGUUUGUUAAGACAGAUGUGAAAUCCCCGGGCUCAACCUGGGAACUGCAUUUGUGACUGGCAAGCUAGAGUCUGGCAAAGGGGGGUGGAAUUCCGCGUGUAGCAGUGAAAUGCGUAGAUAUGCGGAGGAACACCGAUGGCGAAGGCAGCCCCCUGGGCCAACACUGACGCUCAUGCACGAAAGUGUGGGGAGCAAACAGGAUUAGAUACCCGCGUAGUCCCUGUCUCUUAUAC
rnacentral:rRNA from 1 species